GGGUAGUUUUGUGGGUUUCCUAUUUUUCAGGACUCUAUAGGUCAUGAGCAUGUGUAUACUAGUAGAAUUACAUUUCAUGCCACCAGUUUUGUUUCCUUUUUAUAGACCAAAUUUCAUUUCUUGUCUUACUUUGUAAAAGUCAAGAUGCAAGAGAACCAGCUAUACUGGAAGUAAAAGAUUUGAUUUCUGAGCAAGUAGAGAGGGAAGUAUAGUUGACGACUUAUCUGAUAAGUCGUCACCCUUGUGAUAAGCUAUCAGACAUGCCGUCAGGCUUAGACAAAAGAAUGAGCUUCAGCUGGAAUUCAUGACGACAUCUGUAAUAGGCCGGCAGAAGUAUGAUAGGUCGUCCAGCUCGUCGUUAGGCUUAGGCAGGGAAUAAGAUUUGAAGUGAAGAAGCAACGGCAAUUCUGAUAAGUCAUCACAUGUAUGUUAAGUUGUGACGUCUCAUCGUCAACCUAAGGCAGAGAUUGUCAGAAGUGAAGAGGAACUGACGACAUUCUUGAUAAGUCGUCAGACCCCUAAUAAGCUGUCACACACAUCAUCGCCUGUCUGAGAAAAUAAAGUGAUCUAUGAUUUUGUUUCCAUUAUUAAGAUGAAGUAUUAAAAGCAUAUGUUAGGGUUUUCUAAUCAUAAUGAAGGGGGGAACCGACAUUUUGAGAAUCACUUCUCUCUAGUUUUCUGACUUGAAUCUAGUUUUCUGACUUGAACUUUGCAAUUAUUUUUGGAGAGAUUAUUACAAUUGUUUUGGGACUUUCUACUGUUAAUCAAAUGUGAGAAACACUUGUUGCUAUUCAUCUUUUUGUAAGUUCAAAUAUCAAACUAUGAAUUCAACUUGUUGUCUUGAUCA